GUGUUCAUCACGCCUACCACAGAUUGUCUAUUUUUGCUGAUGAGCACGCUGCAGCGGUCUAAAGACGUCCAAGUCAACAAUGAAUAAUAAAAAAGUCAACGGUAAUCGAACAUCAAUAGCCAUGUACGCACGCGUGCGCGUUCAAAGACGGUGGCAAAGAUUACCGACAUUGCUUGACACGGCUUGGCCUUGGCUUGACCGUAGAUGCACAGAACACUUAUGUAGAUACGUGGACUAUUUUUUUAGUGCUAGACAAAUUAUUAUUAGGCCCCUGCAAGUAGUACUUUAUAUUAUAUAUUCUGUUCAUUUCAUUAAAUCAAUAGCAAUUUAUAUUUUGACGUUAUGACUUGUUUUAACAGUAAUCUCUAGCCAAGCCAAAGACGAAGCGCCACGUUUUGACUUUGUCGACGGUCGGACACUUUUGUCUCGUGGUGCACGGCGUGUGAGCGUCAGGAUGUUCGCGUUAGUGCGAUUCUUGAACAGUUUUGAUAAGAAAGAGUAUAUAAUACCUGCCAAUAUCAUUAAGGAGUUUUACCCAGAAAGCAAGGAGGACUUCAUUAAAAGUAAAGUCUACAGGACAGAGUGGGUUGAUCAUGAAGACCCGGAAAACACAGGAUCGUACACGUGUAGAAUUCUGCUGCUGGCAGACUCGGAACAAGAGCGACAUAAACAAAGGGGCAGCAAGCGCCUUCCACGGCCUCUGAUACACCAGUCAGAUAUUGACCAAGAGGAAGAGCUCAUUGACCUGCAGCUGUCAGCAGUAAACACCAAGCAGACUGCAAAACAGGCACACAAAAAAAUGAAACAGGAUCAGGCAGCAUCAAGAAGUGCUGUUUAUGAGGAAAUUUUGAGCAAGCAUGCCUCUCGUGCCCUUGAAAAAAAUAAAGCCGCCCGAGCUUUGCAAACACCCUCAAACAGGCGUGUGGAGUUCAAUGAAGACACCACAAACAAAGAACGCAAACACAAGCAAAUGAGGAAAGAGACUUGACAACCUUAUGAGAGUGUGCUGAAAGAGCGCAAUGAACUGCGACAAGCGGUUGCCAAAAUCAAUUAAAGAAUUGAUCGAAUAGACGUGAAGCUUUCAAUGAUUGUAGAAAUGCUACAGGCGAGAAGUGCCCCUCAGCCUCAAAAGGCACAAAAAAGUGCCCCGCUUCUCGAGCAAGCACAACAGUCCCCUACAGAUCUGUGGGAGGAUGGCCAAGACCUUAAUGGUUUGGAUUACAAAGUUGAACCGUCACACACAGCCCCCACCACCAGCAGCACACGUGGACACUACAUCCAAGCCUGCUGCAGACGCACUCCCCACAGCUGCAGACCCAAAAGCCCACACUCCUUUUACUGACAUUGGUGAUGGCAAGUAUCACGUGAAAGAUGGCCUCAUGAUUGGAAGCAAGCAGGCAGAAAAAAUCCUGGGCCAUAAAAAAACCUUCACUCGUAAAGAAUAUGGCCCAAGCCAUAUGGGGUCGCGAAGGAUUGGCGGAGCGAAGUUAUGGAGGCAAAUUAGCCCCCAAGGACUACAAGAACCCCAACGCAGUCGUGCGGAAGCAACUGAGUCCACACAAGGUUGCUUUGAUUAUUGGUAAGAUUGUGGUCAAUUUAAUUGUGCUGUACAUAAUUAUGUAUCCCACGGCUGUUUUAAUUUCUGCCUCCUUUGCAGACACCGUGACACAUUGGGGGUCGAGGCGCGGAGUCCCAGUUAAGGAAACGCUGGACAAUUUGUCUACCAUUUUGUCUCAAAAAAUUCAAGACGUCAGGAGGACAAAGAGAAAGGAAGAUUGAAUGCUUCAAAAAUCUUUUCUUUUGACUUCACAUUAUUUCCUUUUUUUUUA